rnacentral:rRNA from 1 species
CGCUGGCGGCGUGCCUAAUACAUGCAAGUCGAACGAGAAUCUCUGGCUUGCCAGAGAGGAAAGUGGCGGACGGGUGAGUAAUAUGUAGGAAAUCUGCCCUCAAGAGGGGGACAACAGUUGGAAACGACUGCUAAUACCCCAUAUGAGCUUAGUUGAAAUACUAAUCUUGAAAUGAUUUUUCGCUUGAGGAUGAGCCUGCAUCUGAUUAGCUUGUUGGUGGUGUAAUGGACUACCAAGGCGACGAUCAGUAGCUGGUUUGAGAGGAUGAUCAGCCACAAUGGGACUGAGACACGGCCCAUACUCCUACGGGAGGCAGCAGUAGGGAAUUUUGCGCAAUGGGCGAAAGCCUGACGCAGCAAACCGCCGCGUGAGUGAUGAAGCCCCUCGGGGUGUAAAACUCUGUCAGUAGGGACAAAUUCUGAUGGUACCUACAGAGGAAGCAUCGGCUAACUACGUGCCAGCAGCAGC